rnacentral:rRNA from 1 species
UACGGGGGGAGCAAGCGUUGUUCGGAUUUACUGGGCGUAAAGGGCGCGUAGGCGGUCAGCACAAGUCAGUUGUGAAAUCUCCGGGCUUAACUCGGAAAGGUCAACUGAUACUGUGCGACUAGAGUGCGGAAGGGGCAACUGGAAUUCUCGGUGUAGCGGUGAAAUGCGUAGAUAUCGAGAGGAACACCUGAGGUGAAGACGGGUUGCUAGGCUGACACUGACGCUGAGGCGCGAAAGCCAGGGGAGCAAACGGG